UACGUAGGUGGCAAGCGUUGUCCGGAAUUAUUGGGCGUAAAGCGCGCGCAGGCGGUUCUUUUAAGUCUGAUGUGAAAGCCCACGGCUCAACCGUGGAGGGUCAUUGGAAACUGGAGAACUUGAGUACAGAAGAGGAAAGCGGAAUUCCACGUGUAGCGGUGAAAUGCGUAGAGAUGUGGAGGAACACCAGUGGCGAAGGCGGCUUUCUGGUCUGUACUGACGCUGAGGAGCGAAAGCGUGGGGAGCGAACAGG
rnacentral:rRNA from 1 species